AUUAAUUUGAGAGUUUGAUCCUGGCUCAGGACGAACGCUGGCGGCGUGCCUAAUACAUGCAAGUCGAACGAACUCUGGUAUUGAUUGGUGCUUGCAUCAUGAUUUACAUUUGAGUGAGUGGCGAACUGGUGAGUAACACGUGGGAAACCUGCCCAGAAGCGGGGGAUAACACCUGGAAACAGAUGCUAAUACCGCAUAACAACUUGGACCGCAUGGUCCGAGUUUGAAAGAUGGCUUCGGCUAUCACUUUUGGAUGGUCCCGCGGCGUAUUAGCUAGAUGGUGGGGUAACGGCUCACCAUGGCAAUGAUACGUAGCCGACCUGAGAGGGUAAUCGGCCACAUUGGGACUGAGACACGGCCCAAACUCCUACGGGAGGCAGCAGUAGGGAAUCUUCCACAAUGGACGAAAGUCUGAUGGAGCAACGCCGCGUGAGUGAAGAAGGGUUUCGGCUCGUAAAACUCUGUUGUU
rnacentral:rRNA from 1 species